rnacentral:rRNA from 1 species
UGAGGAAUAUUGGGCAAUGCCCGAAAGGGUGACCCAGCAACGCCGCGUGGAGGAUGAAGGUCGUAAGAUUGUAAACUCCUGUUAGAGGGGAAGAAUAACUAAGUUUGGAGCUUAGUAUGACUGUACCCUCAGAGAAAGCCCCGGCUAACUACGUGCCAGCAGCCGCGGUAAUACGUAGGGGGCAAGCGUUGUUCGGAAUUACUGGGCGUAAAGGGUGCGUAGGCGGCGCUCUAAGUUUGGUGUGAAAUCUCCCGGCUUAACUGGGAGGGUGCACUGAAAACUGGGGCGCUCGAGUAUGGGAGAGGAAAGCGGAAUUCCUGGUGUAGCGGUGAAAUGCGUAGAGAUCAGGAGGAACACCUGCGGUGCAGACGGCUUUCCGGACCAUCACUGACGCUGAGGCACGAAAGCGUGGGUAGCAAACA